AUCCAGGUGACGAGUCCCAAAUAGGACGAAACUACGUCUUGGAU
rnacentral:hammerhead_ribozyme from 1 species